rnacentral:rRNA from 1 species
GCCUACGACCAUAUCACCCAGAAUGCGCCCGAUCUCGUCUGAUCUCGGAAGCUAAGCAUGGUCGAGCCUGGUUAGUACUUUGAUGGGAGACUGCCUGGGAAUACCAGGUGUUGUAGGCU